rnacentral:lncRNA from 1 species
CUGUGUGACCUGCCGUUUAGCCGGAUCACACGCAAAAAGAAAGAGAAUAAUAUAUAUAUUUUUUUAUUUGUUUCGGAAUAUCCUGUGGUGCUUAAAGUACGGACACGAUCCAACCCCUCAGCACUACAAAAGAAGCACCAUGUUGAUACAGCUGGGCGACCUGUGACUGCACCGUGCCCUUACUGUUUCGCCCAUCUGAGUGUCAAAUCCCUGUCAAGACAUAAGAAGGACAUGCAUGGAAGUCAGAAGAAAGUGCACAAGUGCUCAAUGUGUGACGCAAAGUUGACACGGCUUGACAAUCUUCGGCGGCACAUGAUGCUUCGUCACCGUUACCAGAAAACACACUGACACCACUCAGAAUAUGGCUGGCAGAGACUAUUCUCACCCCAAUCAAGAAAACCUCAAUUUCAAUGUCCCUGCUUAAUGGUCAGUUAUGCCAUGCUCCUGUGCCAGUUUGAAUUGUAUGGUAACAUUUAUGCGGACAUGCAUGCAGUGAGAAAACAAAUAUUGCUGCAAGGAGACACAUUGAAAGUUCCGAGCUUUACAUCAAAGUAUAAAGCUUGAAUUGCUUUUGUUCCGCAUUUAAGUGAGAAUCUGCAGGCACAGCUUGAUUUUCACUGCCAUUUUACAGCUGUUCUUGCCUUCCUUUAUAAGAAGGGAGGGAAAUAGAGAGCAAAUCAGGGUUUCUUAUUUUUCUUAUAAUGCUAUGUCCAUGAGAUCACUACAUCCACAUGCUUGGUAGCAUCACCCUUUAUCAAAAUGAUUCUUAGGUGGUAUCAUCAAUUACAAGAACUAUAUGAAACAAAUA